rnacentral:rRNA from 1 species
UACGUAGGGUGCGAGCGUUAAUCGGAAUUACUGGGCGUAAAGCGUGCGCAGGCGGUUCUCCAAGUCCGUUGUGAAAGCCCCGGGCUCAACCUGGGAAUGGCAGUGGAAACUAGGGGACUGGAAUCUGGCAGAGGGGAGUGGAAUGCCGCGUGUAGCAGUGAAAUGCGUAGAGAUGCGGCGGAACACCGAUGGCGAAGGCAGCCCCCUGGGCUGAGAUUGACGCUCAGGCACGAAAGCGUGGGGAGCAAACAGG